UAACAAUACCGGGCUCUUUCGA
rnacentral:siRNA from 1 species